GUGCAAAUGAUGUAAAAUUUUUAAAUAGUCUGAAUGUUUGUGAUGCAUUCAAAGGAACCACUGAUGCCA
ensembl:snoRNA SNORD42 Small nucleolar RNA SNORD42